rnacentral:pre_miRNA from 1 species
GUAAAAGUGCCAGAAGGAAAAGAUAUAGCAGUCAAAGUUCUCUCAUUGUUCUCCAAACAAGUGAACUUUUACUGCUAUAUCUUUUCCUUCUUGCAAUUUUAC